rnacentral:rRNA from 1 species
UACGUAGGGGGCUAGCGUUGUCCGGAAUCAUUGGGCGUAAAGAGCGCGCAGGCGGUCGUUCAAGUCGCGUGUGAAAGCCCCCGGCUCAACUGGGGAGGGUCACGCGAUACUGAUCGACUCGAAGGCAGGAGAGGGUAGUGGAAUUCCCGGUGUAGUGGUGAAAUGCGUAGAUAUCGGGAGGAACACCAGUGGCGAAGGCGACUACCUGGCCUGUUCUUGACGCUGAGGCGCGAAAGCUAGGGGAGCAACGGG